GUCUUUAAAAAAAAAAAAAAAAGCAAUUAAAAAAAAAAAUCACCCAAACCAAAAAUCAAAACCCCAAAACCUGACCUAAAAAGCCAUAAAAUGUGUGGUAGAGGGUUCACCUGAGCCUAAAGUGGGACUCUGGCACCAUGGGCUUCUGACCUGCACUGUCAGAUGGGCUGGGGGAGAAGGAUGAGGGAGCCGGGCACCGUGAAUGUGACCCUUGGUUUCUUCAUCUGUACAGAUGGUGGUUGCCUUGCCUCCCUCCCUCCAACACCGUGGAGAUCAAAUGAGAUAAGCAUUAGGUGGUGACAGCAUUGGAAGAAGUAGCUGUGAGUCAGGGAUUGAUUGAUUGAUUGAUUGAUUGAUUUGUCUUUUAGGGCCACACCCGUGGCAUAUGGAGAUUCCCAGGCUAGGGGUCAAAUCAGAGGUGCAGCUGUCAGCCUACACCACAGCCACAGCAAGGUGGGAUCUGAGCCAUGCCUUCGACCCACACCACAGUUCAUGGCAAUGCCGGAUCCUUAACCCAAUGAGCGAGGCCAAGGAUCGAACCUGCGUCCUCAUGAAUGCUAGUGGGUUUGUUAACCCCUGAGCCACGACCGGAACUCCGAAUCAGGGAUUUAUUAUUAUCCUCAUUGAUUCAGAUGAUCUGCCCCAUGCGAGGAAAGCUCCGGAUGCAGGGCUACACGGGUCUCCCUAAAAUAGGCCUUCUUUUCCAGGGCAGGAGUCCCCCAUCAUCCAAAGAUGCAUCUCACCCUCUGCUUUUUCUCUCUGAUUGCUCCAGCUCCGAAGCCCUCUGAAGUGCAUGGCUUCUUCCUUGCUGCAACCGCUUCCUGACCCUCCCCCGUGGCUUCCCAUCCAGGCUCCCCAACACUCAGACCAGCACCGUCCUCCACUGCCAAAGCCAAGGCCACCAGAGCCGGUAUUGGGAGAAAAGGUUGCCCAUGAUGUACUGGGAGCCUGGUCAGUGAUUCAGAAGCAGAGGGAUGCAAGAGAGAGCUUUGGAGGUCAGCCAACAGAUCCCUCAAAACACAGAUGCUCCAUUCUUCUUUAGUCUAUGGGGCAGCCCCUUCUGAAUCUGCAGAUCACGGAAUGUUACUAGGCAAGCCAUGGGUGCCCCGCUCUCCUCUCCGGGGUUUAGGAGUGAGGGCUCCCAAGCUUGCUGGACACAAGGUCUGUAUCCAAGAUUCAGGUGAAUUUUUAUAUACUAGAAACAAAUUAGCAGAAGUAAAAAUUGGGGAAAGGUAAGAAUGGAUUGGGAGCUUGGGAUUGGCAUAUGCACAUAAUAGUGUAUGGAAUGGGUGGCCAAUACAACAUAUUUCCUUGUAUAGCACAGGGAAGUCUACUCAUUAUUCUGUGAUCACCUAUAUGGGAACGGAUGUGUGUGUGUAUAAUUGAAUCACUUUGCUGGACAGCAUAAAUUUACACAACAUUGUAAAUCAAUGAUACUUCAAUACAGUUAAAAACGGUUAAACUAUUUUGAGAUAGCAUUUACUAUGUUUAAUGUGUCAGAGCACACAUCUACUCCUUUGGGGUUUGUAUUUUGUAUCUUCUUCAAUAAAUCUUCCCCUGUUCUAAAAUCA
rnacentral:lncRNA from 1 species